rnacentral:rRNA from 1 species
CGGUCCUUUAGGCGACGCGUCGAGUAGGAGUUUGUAUCCUCGGCGUCAGGACGAACGCUGGCGGCGUGCUUAACACAUGCAAAGUCGAACGGAAAGGCUCCAGCUUGCUGGAGUACUCGAGUGGCGAACGGGUGAGUAACACGUGGGUAAUCUGCCCUGCACUCUGGGAUAAGCCUGGGAAACUGGGUCUAAUACUGGAUAUGACCUUUCUCCUUAUGGGGUUUGGUGGAAAGUUUUCGGUGUAGGAUGAGCCCGCGGCCUAUCAGCUUGUUGGUGGGGUGAUGGCCUACCAAGGCGACGACGGGUAGCCGGCCUGAGAGGGUGAUCGGCCACAUUGGGACUGAGGUACGGCCCAGACUCCUACGGGAGGCAGCAGUGGGGAAUAUUGCACAAUGGGCGGAAGCCUGAUGCAGCGACGCCGCGUGAGGGAUGACGGCCUUCGGGUUGUAAACCUCUUUCAGCAGGGACGAAGCGUAAGUGACGGUACCUGCAGAAGAAGCACCGGCUAACUAUGUG